CAGUCGCCACGGUAAUACGAAGGGUGCAAGCGUUAAUCGGAUUUACUGGGCGUAAAGCGUGCGUAGGCGGUGAGUUAAGUCUGCUGUGAAAUCCCCGGGCUCAACCUGGGAAUGGCAGUGGAUACUGGCUCGCUAGAGUGUGUCAGAGGAUGGUGGAAUUCCCGGUGUAGCGGUGAAAUGCGUAGAGAUCGGGAGGAACAUCAGUGGCGAAGGCGGCCAUCUGGGACAACACUGACGCUGAGGCACGAAAGCGUGGGGAGCAAACAGGAUUAGAUACCCCCGUAGUCCCUGUCUCUUAUAC
rnacentral:rRNA from 1 species